rnacentral:lncRNA from 1 species
GACAGAGUCCGAUUGGUCCUCGGAUGGCGGAGGAACCCGAGACGAUUCUGUCUGUGAAGUUGCUAGCCCUAGGUUUCCACUUCCGCCGGGGCCUUUUCACCUCUUGCUGCCUUGGCUCUAACUUAGAAAGUUUCACGGAAGAUGUGAGUGAGUUUUUAGCAGUGGCUCUCGUAGUUCUUAGUUGAGGUUCUGCGGUCCGUCCAAGAGACAGCCUCUAACUCUUGGUAACUAGGGUCCUUAGCGAAUGCGAAUUGUAGUUUUCUUUCAUGAAAACAUUUCCUAGGUUUUAGAAUUUGCAUUUAUUUCAGACCCUGUGGGUACGGUUUUCCCACCGUAACAGUCUUACAUACGGGUACCACCCUCUCGGAAGGAACCUAAACAUCAACUUCCUUCCAAUCCUAGGAGACCAUCUUCACUUUUUAACAUUCAGGAGAUCAGUACUGUGAGGAAAGGACACGACUCUAUGGUGAGGACUGAUGGACAUACAUUAUCUGAGAAAAGAAACUACCAGCCUCCAGCUCUGAGCUUUCCAAUCCCCAGAGUAGCAAAUGUUGAAAGAAGUUGCACAGGUAAGUAUGUGUGGGGAAAGCUGGGGAAUAAAAUGGUACUGUUGUCAGUAUUUUGAGGGUGGAUGUUGGGCCAUUUACCAGUGAGCGGUU